rnacentral:tRNA from 1 species
UAAAAACUUAGGAUCAACUAAACCAAGAGCCUUCAAAGCUCAAAAUAGGGAUGAAAACCCCCUAGUUUUU